ACAUGCGGUGGCCUCCAUCGGCUGCUCACAAAGGCGGUGGGGAUGAGGGUGGGGAAGAGGGUGAGAGCAACGAUCCUCUUUCUCUCUCCCCCGCCCCUGCCAUCCUGACUCCCUAAGGUUUCCUAUAGUACUAUGCUGUCACUCGCAACUUGCAACACUUCUUUAAGCUUUCUAUCCCUAAUCCUCGAUCGGAUUUUGGUCCCUUUACUCCCAUUUUCCUUCUCCUUACCUCCCUUUUCUUUUGCCCCCUCCCGCAAUUCUGUCUCCACUCCUAGGGUUCUACCAAUCACAUCCUUGUACUGUGAUUUAGGGGCAUAUCCUCUUGAGGUGAGAGGGGAGCCCUGCACUCGCUGCCAUAUGUUUAUUAGUUAUGAACUGAAUAAGGGAAGGCUUGACUUCCUGGGUCAUGGGAGUGAAGGAGUCUGGGUGACAGGAAGCAAGCGGCCUGUCAUGCCUAUUGUCUAGCUGCCAGGUUAACUUUGUCUUGAAAAUAACGUGAUUACCCCGUAGGUUAUUCAGUGUAAGGAAGACAAAAUUCCUUGGGAUCCUACGUAGUGAGUUUGCCCUCCAGUUUUGGUAGACGCAAAAAGCAAAGGGGGAACAUGGGCAAAGGAAGAUUUGAUGAAAAAGAAAAUGUGUCCAACUGCAUCCAGUUGAAAACCUCAGUUAUUAAGGGUAUUAAGAAUCAGUUGAUAGAGCAAUUUCCAGGUAUUGAACCAUGGCUUAAUCAAAUCAUGCCUAAGAAAGAUCCUGUCAAAAUAGUCCGAUGCCAUGAACAUAUAGAAAUCCUUACGGUAAAUGGAGAAUUACUAUUUUUUAGACAAAGAGAAGGGCCUUUUUAUCCAACUCUAAGGUUACUUCACAAAUAUCCUUUUAUCCUGCCACACCAGCAGGUUGAUAAAGGAGCCAUCAAAUUUGUACUCAGUGGAGCAAAUAUUAUGUGUCCUGGUUUAACUUCUCCAGGAGCUAAGCUUUAUCCUGCUGCAGUAGAUACUAUUGUUGCAAUCAUGGCAGAAGGAAAACAGCAUGCUUUAUGUGUUGGAGUCAUGAAGAUGUCUGCAAACGACAUUUAGGAAGCCAUUGAAGCCUAGUUUGUCUUCAGGAUUGCAUUGUUUCUAAGCACGCUGAAAAGAACCCAUUGCUAGGACAGCUGUUUUGUACGUAUUGAGAAAGUCAACAAAGGAAUUGGCAUUGAAAAUAUCCAUUAUUUAAAUGAUGGGCUGUGGCAUAUGAAGACAUAUAAAUGAGCCUCAUAAGGAAUGCACUUGGGCUAAAUAUGGAUAUUGUGCUAUAGCUGUGUUUGUGUCUCUGUGUGACAGCAUGAAGACAAUGCCUCUGUGGUUAUGCUGAAUAAAUUCUAUAGAUGCUAAAA